AUUGGAAAACAAAGAUCUUGAACAAGUAAACGAAUUGAAUGGUGUAACAUAACUAAAAGUUUGUAGGUGCAGGAUGUUUAAUGGUCGGCUCUCUUCUAGCAUGGUAGUUUUCUCCAUGAGGAGAAAAAUUAUUCAGCUCAGUGCAAACUAGAUGUGUUGCCUGGAAUUACAGUUUAAUAUUGACUUUUUACUGUACUUUUAUAUUGUUGGUAUAACUUGUUUUUUUUACAUUUAGGACCUAAUAUACUAUCGGCAUGCUGAAUUUUGUGCUAUUCUGAGGCCAAGCAUUACUUUUGUAGGAUGAUUCAGAAAUUGUUGCAAUGAUCAAAGAAUUACUAGAAACACGAAUUCGACCUGCAGUGCAGGACGAUGGUGGGGAUAUCGAGUAUCAUGGAUUUGAUCCGUAUUUCUCUUCUUUGCUCUCAUCAGACCAAAAAAUAAGCUAUACUCCCAUGUCGAUUCAGCGGUAGCUUGAUUUUACUUAAUGUUUGCUCUUCUUCAGGGAUUCUGGGAUAGUCACGCUAAGAAUGCAAGGUGCCUGUAGCGGCUGCCCAAGUUCAUCUGUGACAUUGAAGUCUGGCAUCGAGAAUAUGCUUAUGCAUUAUGUGCCGGAGGUAAUAUCAUGACAUCCAUUUGCUUCGAGUGCCACCGCAUGUCCUUCAGAAUUCAAGUCAAAGGGGUUGACCAGGAGCUAGAUACGGAUGAGGGUGCUUCGUCAAGCGAUCAAACGGAAUAAAAUGUUACUGAAGAAGCCUAAUCAUCGAACCUCCCCCGUAGAGAAUUAGUGCCUGCUGUGAUUUCUCAACUCGCAGCACCAUCAGCGGAGAAAUCUGGAGUUAUAGUCGAAGACCAUUUAACCUCUGUAUAUAUGUUUCAUAACAGGGGAAAAAGAUAACCAACCGUAAUGUUCGAUAGCGAAGCAUGUAACUAUCGAAAUGAGAUUUUUUUUCUUCUUUUUUAUCCAUGGGCACAUUUCCACAUAAAUGUUGUCUUUUUAUUUCAAUACUUGGCUCUUCCAAGAUCAUGGAUAAGAUGCUAUUGGUAAAUGCAUAUUUUUCUGUAGCAGCUCAUUGGAACUCCCAAA